rnacentral:lncRNA from 1 species
GUCUUUGGAAAUAUUGGGCAGGGAGAAAGGGUGCUUUUAGAACCGAGCUGUUCAGGGUCCCAGAUCCUCUAAUGUAAUGCCAGCUGAACCCAGACAGUGACUUCCACCUCCAUGAAUGCAGGUGAUUGCAUCCUUUGAAAGCCUGUUUGCAUAGCAGACAAUGAAGCUGAGCAGAGAAAAACAAGAUGAGAGACAGAUGGAGUAGGAGACCUGAGAAGAUGGCUUGAGUCCAUGAAUUCUGGUGUUCCCUAGGCCACAUUUGCCCCCAUCCUUCCCAGCCUGACUUGAGUUCUUGCCUGCUUUGACCAUGAGAACUGAAAAUUGAGGACUAGUUAGACUUCUCCUAUGGAGAAUGCAGCAAGAAAAUACCAUCUUGAAGCAGAGAGCAGCGCUCAUCAGGCAUCAGUCCUUCUGGAGCCUUGAUCUUGGACCUCCCAGCUCCAAAAUAAUAAGUAAUAAAUUGUUAUUGCUUAUAAAUUA